AGAUAAGAGUCAGGAAAGCACCAAAUGCCGGGUGUGAACUCAUUUUGCCCUGGAAUAUAUGUAUGUCCCUUGCAGUUUGGAAUAUCUUUGCUCUAUGCCCUGCUGAGCCAUGGGGAGCAGCUGGUAUCACUGCAUUCUUCCCUGGAGGAACCCAACAGUGACCGUACAGCUUGGACAGACAUGGUGGUUCUGAUUGCCUGGGAGAUAGCCCAAAUGCCUACAGCCUCUCUGGCAGAACCCCUAGCUUUCCCCAGCAACCUACUUCCCCUGUUCUGUCACCACGUGGACAAACAAUUGGUUCAGCAGCUGGAGGCCAGGAUGGAGUUUGCCUGGAUCUACUGAUCUGUUUGUUCUGGAAUACGUGUAUGUGGGAAGUUGAAUCAUCAGACACUAGCUAUAUAGACUAUGUUUACAGGGAUCCAGAGAGUCUGAAGACAUUUCUUAUGCCUUUAUAUAUUGGAGAACCCUUCCCCAUUUUCAUAUCCUUUCUUCAAAAAUCUAAAUGAUGUGCCUAAAAAUAAGACACGGCAUAUAAGGUAUAAUUAAAGAGAUAAUAGA
rnacentral:sRNA from 1 species